AGCAGCCGCGGUAAUUCCAGCUCCAAUAGCGUAUAUUAAAGUUGUUGCAGUUAAAAAGCUCGUAGUUGAAUUUCGGAAUCAAUACGUCGGUCGUGCUUCGGUACGUACUAACGUCAUUGGUUUCUCCCUUCUGACGAACCAUGAUGUCAUUAAUUUGGUGUUAUGGGAAAUCAGGACUGUUACUUUGAAAAAAUUAGAGUGUUUAAAGCAGGCUCACGCUUGAAUACAUUAGCAUGGAAUAAUGAAAUAGGACGUUCGAACCUAUUUUGUUGGUUUCUAGGAUCAACGUAAUGAUUAAUAGGGAUAGUUGGGGGCAUUAGUAUUCAAUUGUCAGAGGUGAAAUUCUUGGAUUUAUUGAAGACUAACUACUGCGAAAGCAUUUGCCAAGGAUGUUUUCAUUAAUCAAGAACGAAAGUUAGGGGAUCGAAGACGAUCAGAUACCGUCGUAGUCUUAACCAUAAACUAUGCCGACUAGGGAUCGGAUGAUGUUAAUUUUUUAAUGACUCAUUCGGCGCCUUACG
rnacentral:rRNA from 1 species